GAAUAUGGUUGGAUACUGUGAUUGAAGAUUGUUUCUUGUUUGAAUAUUGUUGGAUACUGUGACUGAAGACUCUUACUUAACUGAAUAUUGUUGGAUACUGUGACUGAAGACUGUUACCUGACUGAAUAUUGUUGGAUACCGUGACAAGAAUAAUUGCGCCACACUUUGUGUGUGUGUGACAAUCAUUGGUGCUUUAACUUUAACUUUAACUGAAGACUGUUACUUGACUGAAUAUUGUUGUAUACCAUGACUGAAGACCGUUACUCAACUGAAUAUUGUUGGAUACCGUGACUGAAGACUGUUAGUUGACUGAAUAUUGUUGGAUACCGUGUGACGACUGGGUCGCAUCGUGGUACGAGGUUGUUCUCCCAGGAAUGCAGACGGAUUCGGACACAGCGUGCAGGUCGCCGGCAUGAGAGACAAGCACGCUGACUACCAGGCUAAAAUCCCGGGCUACCAACUCGAGAGCCAGCAUUGCUCUUGAAGUCGUCAGCGAGUGAUGUUUACCAAGAGAAAAAGAACCCAUCUUCUCUCUGUCGACAGGACAAAAUAUGAAAUAAUUCAUGAGAGGAAGACUUCUCCACCAUGUCUCCUUAUUACAAGCAGCACUUAACAACGCCUGCAUGCUCUUUAUGCGCUUCAAAAACACCUCCGCACUCAUAAAUACCACCGCCAGCCCUCAGGGUGGCUCGUAUGCCAACGGUUGCCUCGGUAAUUGCAUGUGGGGAACAAGCCAGAGGGCUGGCCAUGAAGUGGUGAAGGCCCGGUCCUUCAUCCAGGAGAUGAACUGCUACAGGGAUUCUCUGGCAUGACAGCAUCACGGACUCGGAAUGGUAACGUGGAUUAUGAUUUCAGUUGCAACGAGACAUUGUGUGAACUGUGAUGCUUUGAAAGUUUUACAUGGCUUUCCAUUCAGAUGUCAACUGCUAAGAUGCUUACGGCCGCUAGGAGGCUUUUUUGCGUGGCACAGCUCAGUUAGAAUAAAUAUGAUAUAUAAUUAAAACAUGUGGGGACCAUUUUGAUAUAUAUUUUUUUUGUUUUUUUUUUGUUUAGGGCUUCCCUCAAGCACCGGGAAGGGUAUCAGUUAUAAAUAUGAUAAAAGAAAAUAAAAAAUAAAAUGUAUACUCUUUUUUUUUUCAAAACUUCAAUUUCUAGAUCAACGUCCGAUCUGCCGAAAAAUUUUAAUUAAUUUUAUUUUUUUUAUGUUUUAAGACCUUUUUGUUUAAUAAAACCCUGUUAUUUUAUGGC